UAAUAUGCAAGAUGUGAUUAUGAAGACAUGAGAUUGAUUUCUUCAGUCACAGAGAAAAAUAAGAUUCAUUAUAUAACAAUCAUACCAUGUAUAAAUU
rnacentral:miRNA from 1 species